rnacentral:rRNA from 1 species
GGUUAAGCGACUAAGCGUACACGGUGGAUGCCCUGGCAGUCAGAGGCGAUGAAGGACGUGCUAAUCUGCGAAAAGCGUCGGUAAGGUGAUAUGAACCGUUAUAACCGGCGAUGUCCGAAUGGGGAAACCCAGUGCAAUUCGUUGCACUAUCGUUAACUGAAUACAUAGGUUAACGAGGCGAACCGGGGGAACUGAAACAUCUAAGUACCCCGAGGAAAAGAAAUCAACCGAGAUUCCCCCAGUAGCGGCGAGCGAACGGGGAGCAGCCCAGAGUCUGAAUCAGCUUGUGUGUUAGUGGAACGGUCUGGAAAGUCCGACGGUACAGGGUGAUAGUCCCGUACACCAAAAUGCACAGGUUGUGAACUCGAAGAGUAGGGCGGGACACGUGGUAUCCUGUCUGAAUAUGGGGGGACCAUCCUCCAAGGCUAAAUACUCCUGACUGACCGAUAGUGAACCAGUACCGUGAGGGAAAGGCGAAAAGAACCCCGGCGAGGGGAGUGAAAAAGAACCUGAAACCGUGUACGUACAAGCAGUGGGAGCACCUUCGGGUGUGACUGCGUACCUUUUGUAUAAUGGGUCAGCGACUUAUAUUCUGUAGCAAGGUUAACCGUAUAGGGGAGCCGCAGGGAAACCGAGUCUUAACUGGGCGUUAAGUUGCAGGGUAUAGACCCGAAACCCGGUGAUCUAGCCAUGGGCAGGUUGAAGGUUGGGUAACACUAACUGGAGGACCGAACCGACUAAUGUUGAAAAAUUAGCGGAUGACUUGUGGCUGGGGGUGAAAGGCCAAUCAAACCGGGAGAUAGCUGGUUCUCCCCGAAAGCUAUUUAGGUAGCGCCUCGUGAACUCAUCUUCGGGGGUAGAGCACUGUUUCGGCUAGGGGGUCAUCCCGACUUACCAACCCGAUGCAAACUACGAAUACCGAAGAAUGUUAUCACGGGAGACACACGGCGGGUGCUAACGUCCGUCGUGAAGAGGGAAACAACCCAGACCGCCAGCUAAGGUCCCAAAGUCAUGGUUAAGUGGGAAACGAUGUGGGAAGGCACAGACAGCCAGGAUGUUGGCUUAGAAGCAGCCAUCAUUUAAAGAAAGCGUAAUAGCUCACUGGUCGAGUCGGCCUGCGCGGAAGAUGUAACGGGGCUAAACCAUGCACCGAAGCUGCGGCAGCGACACUAUGUGUUGUUGGGUAGGGGAGCGUUCUGUAAGCCUGCGAAGGUGUGCUGUGAGGCAUGCUGGAGGUAUCAGAAGUGCGAAUGCUGACAUAAGUAACGAUAAAGCGGGUGAAAAGCCCGCUCGCCGGAAGACCAAGGGUUCCUGUCCAACGUUAAUCGGGGCAGGGUGAGUCGACCCCUAAGGCGAGGCCGAAAGGCGUAGUCGAUGGGAAACAGGUUAAUAUUCCUGUACUUGGUGUUACUGCGAAGGGGGGACGGAGAAGGCUAUGUUAGCCGGGCGACGGUUGUCCCGGUUUAAGCAUGUAGGCUGGUUAUCCAGGCAAAUCCGGAUAAUCAAGGCUGAGGUGUGAUGACGAGGCACUACGGUGCUGAAGUAACAAAUGCCCUGCUUCCAGGAAAAGCCUCUAAGCAUCAGGUAACAUCAAAUCGUACCCCAAACCGACACAGGUGGUCAGGUAGAGAAUACCAAGGCGCUUGAGAGAACUCGGGUGAAGGAACUAGGCAAAAUGGUGCCGUAACUUCGGGAGAAGGCACGCUGGUGUGUAGGUGAAGCCCCUGCGGGUGGAGCUGAGACCAGUCGAAGAUACCAGCUGGCUGCAACUGUUUAUUAAAAACACAGCACUGUGCAAACACGAAAGUGGACGUAUACGGUGUGACGCCUGCCCGGUGCCGGAAGGUUAAUUGAUGGGGUUAUCCGUAAGGAGAAGCUCUUGAUCGAAGCCCCGGUAAACGGCGGCCGUAACUAUAACGGUCCUAAGGUAGCGAAAUUCCUUGUCGGGUAAGUUCCGACCUGCACGAAUGGCGUAAUGAUGGCCAGGCUGUCUCCACCCGAGACUCAGUGAAAUUGAACUCGCUGUGAAGAUGCAGUGUACCCGCGGCAAGACGGAAAGACCCCGUGAACCUUUACUAUAGCUUGACACUGAACAUUGAGCCUUGAUGUGUAGGAUAGGUGGGAGGCUUUGAAGCGUGGACGCCAGUCUGCGUGGAGCCAACCUUGAAAUACCACCCUUUAAUGUUUGAUGUUCUAACGUUGGCCCCUUACCGGGGUUGCGGACAGUGUCUGGUGGGUAGUUUGACUGGGGCGGUCUCCUCCCAAAGCGUAACGGAGGAGCACGAAGGUUAGCUAAUCCUGGUCGGACAUCAGGAGGUUAGUGCAAUGGCAUAAGCUAGCUUGACUGCGAGCGUGACGGCGCGAGCAGGUGCGAAAGCAGGUCAUAGUGAUCCGGUGGUUCUGAAUGGAAGGGCCAUCGCUCAACGGAUAAAAGGUACUCCGGGGAUAACAGGCUGAUACCGCCCAAGAGUUCAUAUCGACGGCGGUGUUUGGCACCUCGAUGUCGGCUCAUCACAUCCUGGGGCUGAAGUAGGUCCCAAGGGUAUGGCUGUUCGCCAUUUAAAGUGGUACGCGAGCUGGGUUUAGAACGUCGUGAGACAGUUCGGUCCCUAUCUGCCGUGGGCGCUGGAGAAUUGAGGGGGGCUGCUCCUAGUACGAGAGGACCGGAGUGGACGCAUCACUGGUGUUCGGGUUGUCAUGCCAAUGGCACUGCCCGGUAGCUAAAUGCGGAAGAGAUAAGUGCUGAAAGCAUCUAAGCACGAAACUUGCCCCGAGAUGAGUUCUCCCUGAGACUUUAAGUCUCCUGAAGGAACGUUGAAGACGACGACGUUGAUAGGCCGGGUGUGUAAGCGCAGCGAUGCGUUGAGCUAACCGGUACUAAUGAACCGUGAGGCUUAACCUU